rnacentral:rRNA from 2 species
CUGUGCGAAGAGGAGGAUAUACCG